rnacentral:tRNA from 2 species
GCGGGUGUAGCUCAGUUGGUAGAGCGAAAGCUUCCCAAGCUUUAGGUCGCGGGUCCGAAUCCCGUCGCCCGCUCCA